rnacentral:rRNA from 1 species
UACGUAGGGUGCAAGCGUUAAUCGGAAUUACUGGGCGUAAAGCGUGCGCAGGCGGUUAUGCAAGACAGAUGUGAAAUCCCCGGGCUCAACCCGGGAACUGCGUCCGAUACUGGCAGGCUUGAAUCCGGGAGAGGGAUGCGGAAUUCCAGGUGUAGCGGUGAAAUGCGUAGAUAUCUGGAGGAACACCGGUGGCGAAGGCGGCAUCCUGGACCGGCAUUGACGCUGAGGCGCGAAAGCCAGGGGAGCAAACGGG